AGGAGGGUUCCUUUAUUGGUAAGAAGGGCUAAACUGUAAAUUUAGUACAAUAAUUGUUUUAAGAGUUCGAAUCUCUUGUCUCCUA
rnacentral:tRNA from 3 species